rnacentral:rRNA from 1 species
AGCGAACGCUGGCGGCAGGCCUAACACAUGCAAGUCGAACGAACCUUUCGGGGUUAGUGGCGGACGGGUGAGUACCACGUGGGAACGUGCCUUUAGGUUCGGAAUCACUCAGGGAAACUUGUGCUAAUACCGAAUGUGCCCUUCGGGGGUAAGAUUUAUCGCCUUUAGAGCGGCCCGCGUCUGAUUAGCUGGUUGGUUGAGGUAAUGGCUCACCAAGGCGACGAUCAGUAGCUGGUCUGUGAGGAUGAUCAGCCAGGUUGGGACUGAGACACGGCCCAAACUCCUACGGGAGGCAGCAGUGGGGAAUCUUGCGCAAUGGGCGAAAGCCUGACGCAGCCAUGCCGGGUGAAUGAUGAAGGUCGUAGGAUUGUAAAAUUCUUUCACCGGAGACGAUAAUGACGGUACCCGGAGAAGAAGCCCCGGCUAACUUCGUG